GAUGAACGCUGGCGGCGUGCCUAAUACAUGCAAGUCGAGCGAACAGAUGAGGAGCUUGCUCCUCUGACGAUAGCCGCGCACGGGUGAGUAACACGUGGAUAACCUACCUAUAAUACUGGGAUAACUUCGGGACACGGGAGCUAAUACGGUAGAAUAUCUUGAACCGCAUGGUUCAAUAGUGAAAGACGGCUUUGCGGUCACGUAUAGAUGGAUCCGCGCCGCAUUAGCUAGUUGGUAAGGUCACGGCUUACCAAGGCAACGAUGCGUAGACGAGCUGAGAGGGUGAUCGGCGACACUGGAGGUGGGACACGGACCAUGGGCCUACGGGAGGCAGCAGUAGGGAAUCGUCCGCAGUAGGCGAGAGCAUUACGGAGCGACGCGACGUGAGUUAUGACGGCGUCGGGAGCGUGAUACUGUGUUAUUGGGUAAGAACAAAUGUGUAAGUAACUGUGCACGGCUUGACGGUACCUGGUCAGAAAGCCACGGCUAACUACGUG
rnacentral:rRNA from 1 species